rnacentral:rRNA from 1 species
UACGUAGGGUGCAAGCGUUGUCCGGAAUUAUUGGGCGUAAAGAGCUCGUAGGCGGUCUGUUGCGUCCGCUGUGAAAACUCGGGGCUUAACCCCGAGCCUGCAGUGGAUACGGGCAGACUAGAGGUAGGUAGGGGAGAAUGGAAUUCCCGGUGUAGCGGUGAAAUGCGCAGAUAUCGGGAGGAACACCGGUGGCGAAGGCGGUUCUCUGGGCCUUGCCUGACGCUGAGGAGCGAAAGCGUGGGGAGCGAACAGG